AAAAAAAAAUCUCUAAUUUCCAUUUAGAAUCAUACUGAAAUCUGUGGUUCACAGAAUAGCAUCCGAUUCAAAUUCAUGCAAUUUUUUCCCUCCCUUUUAUGGAACUGUAUUUUUGUAUCUGCUUCCCAAAAGAUUCUAACACCAAAUUUAUCACUGUGGAUCUGAGCAGUGCUUACAACGCAAAUCAGGAGUAACUUACUGGCUGUACACGUAGAAUAUUAUUUGCCCAAACCAAGAAGUCCAUCGAGCAGAUUA
rnacentral:misc_RNA from 1 species